rnacentral:rRNA from 1 species
CGAACGGGUGAGCGAAAUACAUCGGAACGUGUUCCUGUGUAGCGGGGGACAAACCUCGAGAAAUCGAUGGCUAAUACCGCAUACGAUCUACGGAUGAAAUGUGGUGGGACCUGCGAAGGCCCCACACUAUAGGAGUCGGCCAGAUGCCGGAUUAGCUAUGUUGGUGGGGUAACGGCCCACCAAGGCGACGAUCCGUAGCUGGUUUGAGAGAACGAUCAGCCACACUGGGACUGAGACACGGCCCAGACUCCAAUACGGGAGGCAGCAGUGGGGAAUUUUGGACAAUGGGCGAAAGCCUGAUCCAGCCAUGCCGCGUGAGUGAAGAAGGCCUUCGGGUUGUAAAGCUCUUUCGGCGGGGACGAAAUUGCGCGGGGUAACAUCCCCGCGUAGAUGACGGUACCCGAAGAAGAAGGACCGGCUAACUACGUGCCAGCAGCCGCGG